GAUGAACGCUAGCGGCAGGCCUAAUACAUGCAAGUCGAGGGGUAUGGGUUGCUUGCAACCCAGAGACCGGCGCACGGGUGCGUAACGCGUAUGCAAUCUACCUUAAUCAGGGGGAUAGCCCGGAGAAAUCCGGAUUAACACCGCAUAACAUUGAGUUGUGGCAUCACAGUUCAAUCAAAUAUUUAUAGGAUUAAGAUGAGCAUGCGUGACAUUAGUUGGUUGGUGAGGUAACGGCUCACCAAGACCACGAUGUCUAGGGGAUCUGAGAGGAUGACCCCCCACACUGGUACUGAGACACGGACCAGACUCCUACGGGAGGCAGCAGUAAGGAAUAUUGAUCAAUGGGCGCAAGCCUGAACCAGCCAUGCCGCGUGCAGGAAGACGGCCCUAUGGGUUGUAAACUGCUUUUGUACCGGAAUAAACCUUCUCUUGCGAGAGAAGCUGAACGUACGGUAAGAAUAAGGAUCGGCUAACUCCGUG
rnacentral:rRNA from 1 species